rnacentral:ncRNA from 2 species
AAUUGUCCGUCGGGGUGCCUAGUUGAAUUAGGCUGAGAGAUGUAUUUCAUUAACCCGGUGAACCUGAUCCGAUUAGUAUCGGCGUAGGGAACGGAUGCGAUGUUAUG